rnacentral:rRNA from 1 species
CCGAGUUUAAAACUCCCAAACCCCUGUGAACAUACCACUUGUUGCCUCGGCGGAUCAGCCCGCUCCCGGUAAAACGGGACGGCCCGCCAGAGGACCCCUAAACUCUGUUUCUAUAUGUAACUUCUGAGUAAAACCAUAAAUAAAUCAAAACUUUCAACAACGGAUCUCUUGGUUCUGGCAUCGAUGAAGAACGCAGCAAAAUGCGAUAAGUAAUGUGAAUUGCAGAAUUCAGUGAAUCAUCGAAUCUUUGAACGCACAUUGCGCCCGCCAGUAUUCUGGCGGGCAUGCCUGUUCGAGCGUCAUUUCAACCCUCAAGCACAGCUUGGUGUUGGGACUCGCGUUAAUUCGCGUUCCUCAAAUUGAUUGGCGGUCACGUCGAGCUUCCAUAGCGUAGUAGUAAAACCCUCGUUACUGGUAAUCGUCGCGGCCACGCCGUUAAACCCCAACUUCUGAAUGUUGACCUCGGAUCAGGUAGGAAUACCCGCUGAACUUAAGCAUAUCAA